rnacentral:rRNA from 1 species
UAUCCGGAUUUACUGGGCGUAAAGGGUGCGUAGGCGGUCUUUCAAGUCAGGAGUGAAAGGCUACGGCUCAACCGUAGUAAGCUCUUGAAACUGGGAGACUUGAGUGCAGGAGAGGAGAGUGGAAUUCCUAGUGUAGCGGCGAAAUGCGUAGAUAUUAGGAGGAACACCAGUUGCGAAGGCGGCUCUCUGGACUGUAACUGACGCUGAGGCACGAAAGCGUGGGGAGCAAACAGGAUUAGAUACCCUGGUAGUCCACGCUGUAAACGA